rnacentral:rRNA from 1 species
AUUGAACGCUGGCGGCAGGCCUAACACAUGCAAGUCGCGCGAGCGGCGGACGGGUGAGUAAUGUAUGGGGACUGCCCGAUAGAGGGGGAUAACUACUGGAACCGGUAGCUAAUACCGCAUACUAUCGGAUAACCCGUAUGGGAUGAGCUAGUAGGUGAGGUAAUGGCUCACCUCGGCGACGAUCCCUAGCUGGUCUGAGAGGAUGAUCAGCCACACUGGGAUGGGAAGAGGGCCCAGACGCCUACGGAGGCAGCAGUGGGGAAUAUUGCGCAAUGGGGGCAAGCCCGAUGCAGCCAGGCCGCGUGGGGGAUGAAGGCUUUGGGGUUGUAAACCUCUUUCGCUAUCGAACGGGUAGGUGGAGAAGAAGCGCAGGCUAACUACGUGCCAGCAGCCGCGGUAAUUC